AUUCCCUGGCAUUAGGCAGAGACACCUUGGUGGUGGUGGUGUUUUAUAUUAGUCAGGGGCAGAUAGCAGUCCUCUGUUCAUCCCAGCUUGCCUGACAUGGUGACCCAAGCUGUCUCAGGCAUAGGACUCACAA
ensembl:snoRNA LOC120102033 small nucleolar RNA SNORA48